rnacentral:rRNA from 1 species
UACGUAGGGUGCAAGCGUUAAUCGGAAUUACUGGGCGUAAAGUGUGCGCAGGCGGCAGAGCAAGUCGAGUGUGAAAGCCCCGAGCUUAACUUGGGAAUUGCGCUCGAAACUACUUUGCUGGAGUGUGGCAGAGGAAGGUGGAAUUCCAGGUGUAGCGGUGAAAUGCGUAGAGAUCUGGAGGAACACCGAUGGCGAAGGCAGCCCCCUGGGUCAAAACUGACGCUCAUGCACGAAAGCGUGGGGAGCAAACAGG